GAUGAACGCUGGCGGCGUGCCUAAUACAUGCAAGUCGAGCGAACAGACGAGGAGCUUUCUCCUCGUACGUUAGCGGCGGACGGGUGAGUAACACGUGGAUAACCUACCUAUAAGACUGGGAUAACUUCGGGAAACCGGAGCUAAUACCGGAUAAUAUAUUGAACCGCAUGGUUCAAUAGUGAAAGACGGUUUUGCUGUCACUUAUAGAUGGAUCCGCGCCUCCUUAGCUAGUUGGUAAGGUAACGGCUUACCAAGGCAACGAUGCGUAGCCGACCUGAGAGGGUGAUCGGGCACCCUGGACCUGCGCCACGGUCCACACUCCUACGGGAGGCACCCUUAGCGACUCUUUCGCAAUGGGCGAAAGCCUGACGGGGCCACGCCGCGUGUGUGAUGACGGUCUUCGGAUCGGAAGCCUCUUGUAUUAGGGGAGAACAAAUGUGUAAGUAACUAUGCACGUCUUGACGGUACCCACUCAGAGAGCCACGGCUAACUACGUG
rnacentral:rRNA from 1 species